GUCUACGGCCAUGCUAUCCUGAACAAGCUCAAUCCCAUCUGAUUUCAGAAGCUAAGCAGGGUCGGGCCUGGUUAGUACUUGGAUAGGAGACCACCUAGGAAGACCAGGUGCUGUAGGUG
rnacentral:rRNA from 1 species